rnacentral:rRNA from 1 species
ACCCCCGUCUAACCUGUCACGACCAAUGCUAACGUUUUUUAGGUGAACCUGCGGAAGGAUCAUUA